rnacentral:rRNA from 1 species
ACGGCUCAGUAACACGUGGACAACCUACCCUCAGAUCUGGGAUAACUCCGGGAAACUGGAGAUAAUACCGGAUAAUCCGUGAACGCUGGAAUGCCUUACGGUUCAAAGCUUUAGCGUCUGAGGAUGGGUCUGCGGCCGAUUAGGUAGUUGCUGGGGUAACGUCCCAACAAGCCGAUAAUCGGUACGGGUUGUGAGAGCAAGAGCCCGGAGAUGGAUUCUGAGACACGAAUCCAGGUCCUACGGGGCGCAGCAGGCGCGAAAACUUUACACUGCGCGAAAGCGCGAUAAGGGGACCUCGAGUGCGUGCGCAAUGCGUACGCUUUUCAUAUGCCUAAAAAGCAUGUGGAAUAAGGGCCGGGCAAGACCGGUGCCAGCCGCCGCGGUAACACCGGCGGCUCGAGUGGUGGCCGCUAUUAUUGGGCUUAAAGGGUCCGUAGCCGGACCAGUUAGUCCCUUGGGAAAUCUUACGGCUUAACCGUAAGGCUGCCAAUGGAUACUGCUGGUCUUGGGACCGGGAGAGGCAAGAGGUACCUCAGGGGUAGGAGUGAAAUCCUGUAAUCCUUGAGGGACCGCCAGUGGCGAAGGCGUCUUGCUAGAACGGGUCCGACGGUGAGGGACGAAAGCUAGGGGCACGAACCGGAUUAGAUACCCGGGUAGUCCUAGCCGUAAACGAUGCGAGCUAGGUGUCACGUGGAUUGCGAAUCCAUGUGGUGCCGUAGGGAAACCGUGAAGCUCGCCGCCUGGGAAGUACGGCCGCAAGGCUGAAACUUAAAGGAAUUGGCGGGGAAUCAC